AACGAACGCUGGCGGCAUGCCUAACACAUGCAAGUCGAACGAGACCUUCGGGUCUAGUGGCGCACGGGUGCGUAACGCGUGGGAACCUGCCCUUAGGUUCGGAAUAACUCCCCGAAAGGGGUGCUAAUACCGGAUAAUGUCUUCGGACCAAAGAUUUAUCGCCUUUGGAUGGGCCCGCGUUGGAUUAGCUAGUUGGUAGGGUAAAAGCCUACCAAGGCGACGAUCCAUAGCUGGUCUGAGAGGAUGAUCAGCCACACUGGGACUGAGACACGGCCCAGACUCCUACGGGAGGCAGCAGUGGGGAAUAUUGGACGAUGGGCGAAAGCCUGAUCCAGCCAUGCCGCGUGAGUGAUGAAGGCCUUAGGGUUGUAAAGCUCUUUUACCCGGGAUGAUAAUGACAGUACCGGGAGAAUAAGCUCCGGCUAACUCCG
rnacentral:rRNA from 1 species